rnacentral:lncRNA from 8 species
AUGACUGGGAGAACUUAUUCAAGUUUUCUGUCCUCAGAUAAAGAGAGCUAUGAAAGCCUGUCUACAGAUGAAGAGGUCCCAAUGAAGAGCAGUGGUUCUCAGUCCUGGGGACUCAAAGGGAUUCCUUGUAACUGGAGAUUCUUUCAAAACGAUUGGCUACAGUUACUGUGUAGGGCACUGCAAGGUUGGGUGACCAGGGCCAUCUGGGACUGCCUCCUGGAGGAAUUCAGGCGUGUGAAGGCUACUUGUGUCCUGUAUAACUUCAUGAGGAUGGACAUGAGGAACAGGAUGGGAUCUGCAGCUCGCCGCUGUGUGCCAGAGGAGAAAGUCUGGUGCUCAGCAGGAUGUGUCAAGGAUGGGGUCCAACAACACAGCAAGAGAGGCAAUCUGUGUGCGUGAGAUCUUCACCUCCUACUUCUUCGAAGAGGGUGCUGUUCCCUGGCAACACCUUAGACUACACUAUGCACAACCAAAGGCUCUUUUAAGAGCCAUCCACAUUGCAAUUAGAGUAUUCUUCCAUUUACUUAGCCAUGUCAACUGCAGUUAUUAAAUUCCCAGUAACUCUCCCUUUUGAUUUCUACUUCUCAGGUGAGGGUGCUGUUUAGGUAAGGGUGUGAUGCCUGCACAAAAACAAAACAGGCUAUUUUAAACAAUUAGACACCCUAUAACCCACACCUACACACUCAUGUAUCAAUGUGAUUGAUGGAUUGUGUUGUGCAGUAAGCAGGCUAAGGUGUAUAACGGUGGCUACUUCCCCCUUCAAAGAAUAGGCAAGAGGGCCAACCAUGGAGAAUAGUAAAACACUUCAUUAUUUCUAUAACUAUGCUAUAUUGUUUGUCCUUGUGUGUCUGUGCAUGUAUUUCAGUAUAAAGUACUCUCCAGCCACUUAGUGUGGACACCAGGUGAGGCCACACACACAGAUUCCUGUUGAACACUGUCUCUUUAACAAUCUUUUUUUGCUCAAUAACAGUCUCUCUCCUUCACUUCAUCCCUCUCUCCCCUUCUCCCUAAAUCCUCUAGGUUAUCAGCUGUGUCGGUGAAUCCCUCCCGCAUCUGAACUGGCUACAUAGAGGGCACAGCAUGAUCAGAGGUGAGAGGUCACUUGGUCAGGCCAACAGGAAGUAUUAUUAAAGAGAUGCUUUACAUUGAAAUACAGAUAGAAAUGCAGUAGUCCCAGAGUUAAUGAUCCAAGGUCAGUUUUGCAUUUCAUCUCCUGAUUAUGAUGACUGACAGUGUUAAUUUUUUUUAAACACAAGGCUUAAACAUGCUCUCUCUCUCUCUCCAUCUGUCUCUUGUCUGCAGGAAUGUUUUGAUGUAAGAGAGGAUGCUAACCCCCAGUCCCGUCAUCGCCACCUUACCCGUUCUUAAGAUAACCUUCGGGCUGACUAGAGAAACUAUUAUGUAACUGUGAUGAACUGAGAGAAUAUUAGGGUAGCACUGUGACUCAUUAAUCAUAUGCUGCCUUCCCUGCUCCUCUGUUCUUUCCCUUUCUGUCUUUUACACCUCUCUCGCCACCUCUUUCUUUCUCUGUUUUUAUAAUGCACAACAGCUGUGCAUUGAAGUAAAGAUUGAACUUGCAUUUAUAAUAUAUUACAAUUAUAAUAUUUAUAAUGCAUGUAUUUAUAACACUUGGAUAAUGAACUUCUUUCAAUAAAGCGUUUCACAUUCUCUACUGGUUGAAAUUAAGUCUCAUUUGAUGAAAUACUACACCUAUCCUGUGUUUAUCAGAUCAAUGCAUAUGAAGGAAAUUAGAUAUUGAGAUGAAUGUGU